rnacentral:rRNA from 1 species
AACGAACGCUGGCGGCAGGCCUAACACAUGCAAGUCGAGCGAGGACUUCGGUCCUAGCGGCGGACGGGUGAGUAACGCGUGGGAACGUGCCCUUUGCUUCGGAAUAGCCCUGGGAAACUGGGAGUAAUACCGGAUGAGCCCUUUGGGGGAAAGAUUUAUCGGCGAAGGAUCGGCCCGCGUUGGAUUAGGUAGUUGGUGGGGUAAUGGCCUAUCAAGCCGACGAUCCAUAGCUGGUUUGAGAGGAUGAUCAGCCACACUGGGACUGAGACACGGCCCAGACUCCUACGGGAGGCAGCAGUGGGGAAUCUUAGACAAUGGGGGAAACCCUGAUCUAGCCAUGCCGCGUGAGCGAUGAAGGCCUUAGGGUUGUAAAGCUCUUUCAGCUGGGAAGAUAAUGACGGUACCAGCAGAAGAAGCCCCGGCUAACUCCGUG